rnacentral:tRNA from 1 species
AAAUGAAGUAUAGGAAGUUUUAAUUGAUUUGCAAUCAGUUUUUAUGGUAACAUACGUU